rnacentral:rRNA from 1 species
UAGGGAAUCUUCCACAAUGGACGCAAGUCUGAUGGAGCAACGCCGCGUGAGUGAAGAAGGGUUUCGGCUCGUAAAGCUCUGUUGGUAGAGAAGAACGUUGGUGAGAGUGGAAAGCUCAUCAAGUGACGGUAACUACCCAGAAAGGGACGGCUAACUACGUGUCAG